UACAGAGGGUGCGAGCGUUAAUCGGAAUUACUAGGCGUAAAGGGCUCGUAGGCGGCCAACUAAGUCCGACGUGAAAUCCCCAGGCUUAACCUGGGAACUGCGUCGGAUACUGGAUGGCUUGAAUCCGGGAGAGGGAUGCGGAAUUCCAGGUGUAGCGGUGAAAUGCGUAGAUAUCUGGAGGAACACCGGUGGCGAAGGCGGCAUCCUGGACCGGCAUUGACGCUGAGGAGCGAAAGCCAGGGGAGCAAACGGG
rnacentral:rRNA from 1 species